AACGAACGCUGGCGGCAGGCCUAACACAUGCAAGUCGAACGCCCUAGCAAUAGGGAGUGGCAGACGGGUGAGUAACGCGUGGGAACCUUCCCUGUGGUGCGGAAUAACUCGCCGAAAGGCGUGCUAAUACCGCAUAAGCCCGCAAGGGGAAAGAUUUAUCGCCAUAGGAUGGGCCCGCGUAGGAUUAGCUAGUUGGUGAGU
rnacentral:rRNA from 1 species